UACGUAGGUCCCGAGCGUUGUCCGGAUUUAUUGCGCGUAAAGCGAGCGCAGGUGGUUUAUUAAGUCUGGUGUAAAAGGCAGUGGCUCAACCAUUGUAUGCAUUGGAAACUGGUAGACUUGAGUGCAGGAGAGGAGAGUGGAAUUCCAUGUGUAGCGGUGAAAUGCGUAGAUAUAUGGAGGAACACCGGUGGCGAAAGCGGCUCUCUGGCCUGUAACUGACACUGAGGCUCGAAAGCGUGGGGAGCAAACAGG
rnacentral:rRNA from 1 species